GUACACGCUGUGACUAGCAUAUCAAUAAGCGGAGGAAAAGAAACUAACAAGGAUUCCCCUAGUAACGGCGAGUGAAGCGGGAAGAGCUCAAAUUUGAAAUCUUAAAGGGUUUCCCUUUACGAAUUGUAGUUUAAAGAAGUGUUUUCUGUUGAGGUUUUGGUAAAAGUUCUUUGGAAUAGGACAUCAUAGAGGGUGAGAAUCCCGUAUUUGACCUUUACUUUCAACUUUGUGAUACACUUUCAAAGAGUCGGAUUGUUUGGGAAUGCAGUCCGAAAUGGGUGGUAAAUUUCAUCUAAAGCUAAAUAUUGGCGAGAGACCGAUAGCGAACAAGUACCGUGAGGGAAAGAUGAAAAGAACUUUGAAAAGAGAGUUAAACAGUACGUGAAAUUGUCAAAAGGGAAGCGUUUGACACCAGUGUUGUUUUUCUGAAAAUCAAUUAAAGAACUGUUUAUGCUAAGUUGUUUAGACUUUAUCAGCUAUCUGUUUAGUUUUGAGCUUUUCUUUAAUGCACUUUUCAGUUAACAAGUCAACAUCAAUUUCUUUUGCUGUAAAAAAGCUUGAGGAAGGUGGCUUGAGAUUCGUCUUAAGUGUUUAUAGCCUCUUGCCUAUGCAGUCGGAGAGAUUGAGGUCUGCAGCGUAGAUCCUUCGGGGCUAAAUGCAUUUGUGCUAAGUUAUAGCAUUUUAUAGACAACUUGUUGACUAUGAUUUGUCUUGUAGCUUACUCGCUAUGUUAUUUUACCUACGCUUAGGAUGUUGAAGAUGUAGCACAUCAU
rnacentral:rRNA from 1 species